UAGAGUUUGAUCCUGGCUCAGGAUGAACGCUAGCUACAGGCUUAACACAUGCAAGUCGAGGGGAAACGAUAGAGAAAGCUUGCUUUUUCUAGGCGUCGACCGGCGCACGGGUGAGUAACGCGUAUCCAACCUGCCCACCACUUGGGGAUAACCUUGCGAAAGUAAGACUAAUACCCAAUGAUAUCUCUAGAAGACAUCUGAAAGAGAUUAAAGAUUUAUCGGUGAUGGAUGGGGAUGCGUCUGAUUAGCUUGUUGGCGGGGUAACGGCCCACCAAGGCGACGAUCAGUAGGGGUUCUGAGAGGAAGGUCCCCCACAUUGGAACUGAGACACGGUCCAAACUCCUACGGGAGGCAGCAGUGAGGAAUAUUGGUCAAUGGGCGAGAGCCUGAACCAGCCAAGUAGCGUGCAGGAUGACGGCCCUAUGGGUUGUAAACUGCUUUUAUAAGGGAAUAAAGUGAGAGUCGUGACUCUUUUUGCAUGUACCUUAUGAAUAAGGACCGGCUAAUUCCGUGCCAGCAGCCGCGGUAAUACGGAAGGUCCGGGCGUUAUCCGGAUUUAUUGGGUUUAAAGGGAGCGUAGGCCGGAGAUUAAGCGUGUUGUGAAAUGUAGACGCUCAACGUCUGCACUGCAGCGCGAACUGGUUUCCUUGAGUACGCACAAAGUGGGCGGAAUUCGUGGUGUAGCGGUGAAAUGCUUAGAUAUCACGAAGAACUCCGAUUGCGAAGGCAGCUCACUGGAGCGCAACUGACGCUGAAGCUCGAAAGUGCGGGUAUCGAACAGGAUUAGAUACCCUGGUAGUCCGCACGGUAAACGAUGGAUGCCCGCUGUUGGUCUGAAUAGGUCAGCGGCCAAGCGAAAGCAUUAAGCAUCCCACCUGGGGAGUACGCCGGCAACGGUGAAACUCAAAGGAAUUGACGG
rnacentral:rRNA from 1 species